AUUGAACGCUGGCGGCAGGCCUAACACAUGCAAGUCGAGCGGAUGAAGGGAGCUUGCUCCUGGAUUCAGCGGCGGACGGGUGAGUAAUGCCUAGGAAUCUGCCUGGUAGUGGGGGAUAACGUCCGGAAACGGGCGCUAAUACCGCAUACGUCCUGAGGGAGAAAGUGGGGGAUCUUCGGACCUCACGCUCUCAGAUGAGCCUAGGUCGGAUUAGCUAGUUGGUGGGGUAAAGGCCUACCAAGGCGACGAUCCGUAACUGGUCUGAGAGGAUGAUCAGUCACACUGGAACUGAGACACGGUCCAGACUCCUACGGGAGGCAGCAGUGGGGAAUAUUGGACAAUGGGCGAAAGCCUGAUCCAGCCAUGCCGCGUGUGUGAAGAAGGUCUUCGGAUUGUAAAGCACUUUAAGUUGGGAGGAAGGGCAGUAAGUUAAUACCGUGCUGUUUUGACGUUACCAACAGAAUAAGCACCGGCUAACUUCGUG
rnacentral:rRNA from 1 species